UGUCAAGACCACCCACGACAGGAAUGGUGCAAGUGAAGAUGCUCCAGUGAAGGGGCCAAAGGGCCUUUGUCACCUGCUUCCCACGUGCUUGCUGCAUGCUUUAUUUAGGGUGACUGUGGCGGGCCGAUUUGCCAACUUCAGAACCAACCUGUGCCUGUUACCCUCUUGAUUAGCAAAAGGGGAGUUGUAAUUCUUCCUCUAACAUUAAACUCUCCGAAUUUCUCCUAGACCUAAACUUGACAGCCAGAUAUAAACAGUGUUUCUGGUUGAAUUCUCAUGGAUCAAGAUAAGAGUAACUUUUUCUCUUUACUUGGAUGUCCGGUACCGUGCAAAGCCCUAGAGCAGUGAAGAUAAAUGAGAUGUGUUUCCAGUCCACAAGUAACGAUACUGCAGUGUGGGAAGGACCACAGUAAACAAAUGAAUGAGGUGCCAGAGUCGUUCAAAGAAGAGACUGGGCAAUUCUGCUUUGGGGGCAACCAGGAGAGCUUAGAAAGAAGUGGCAUUGAAUGGGUCUUGGAAGAUGUGUUU